rnacentral:rRNA from 1 species
GACGAACGCUGGCGGCGUGCUUAACACAUGCAAGUCGAACGGAAGGGCCCUGCUUUUGUGGGGUGCUCGUGUGGCGAACGGGUGAGUAACACGUGAGUAACCUGCCCUUGACUUUGGGGUAACUUCAGGAAACUGGGGCUCUUACCCGAUAGGAUCUCCUGCUGCAUGGUGGGCGUUGGAAAGUUUCGGCGGUUGGGGAUGGACGGGCGGCUUAUGAGCUUGAUGGGGGGGUAGUGGCUUACCAAGGCUAUGACGGGUAGGCGGCCUGGGAGGGGGACCGGCGACAUUGGGCCUGAGAUACGGCGCAGACUGCAACGGGAGGCAGAGGGGGGGAAUAUUGCACAAUAGGCGGGAGCCUGAUGCGGCGACGCCGGGUGCGGGAAGACGGGCUUCGGGUUGUAAACAGAUUUCGCCUGAGACGAAGCGUGAGUGACGGUACCGGGUAAAGAAGCACCGGCUAACUACGUG